rnacentral:rRNA from 1 species
GACGUAGGGUGCGAGCGUUGUCCGGAUUAUUGGGCGUAAAGAGCUCGUAGGCGGCUCGUCGCGUCGGCUGUGAAAUCCCGUGGCUUAACUGCGGGCUUGCAGCUGAUACGGGCGGGCUAGAGUUCGGUAGGGGAGACUGGAAUUCCUGGUGUGAGCGGUGAAAUGCGCAGAUAUCAGGAGGAACACCGGUGGCGAAGGCGGGUCUCUGGGCCGAUACUGACGCUGAGGAGCGAAAGCGUGGGGAGCGAACAGG